rnacentral:rRNA from 1 species
UGGGGAAUUUUGGACAAUGGGGGAAACCCUGAUCCAGCCAUCCCGCGUGUGCGAUGAAGGCCUUCGGGUUGUAAAGCACUUUUGGCAGGAAAGAAACGUCAUGGGUUAAUACCCCGUGAAACUGACGGUACCUGCAGAAUAAGCACCGGCUAACUACGUGCCAGCAGCCGCGGUAAUACGUAGGGUGCAAGCGUUAAUCGGAAUUACUGGGCGUAAAGCGUGCGCAGGCGGUUCGGAAAGAAAGAUGUGAAAUCCCAGAGCUCAACUUUGGAACUGCAUUUUUAACUACCGGGCUAGAGUGUGUCAGAGGGAGGUGGAAUUCCGCGUGUAGCAGUGAAAUGCGUAGAUAUGCGGAGGAACACCGAUGGAGAAGGCAGCCUCCUGGGAUAACACUGAAGCUCAUGAACGAAAGCGUGGGGAGCAAACAGG